rnacentral:rRNA from 1 species
UGGUCAAGCUGUAAAGGGCGCAAGGGGAAUGCCUUGGCACUGAGAGCCGAUGAAGGACGCGACAAGCUGCGAUAAGCUACGGGGAGCCGCAAAUGGGCUUUGAUCCGUAGAUUUCCGAAUGGGGAAACCCGGCAGAGCAAUACUCUGUCAACGUACACUGAAUACAUAGGUGUACGUGGGGAACCGCCUGAACUGAAACAUCUAAGUAGGGCGAGGAAGAGAAAUCAACCGAGAUUCCGCUAGUAGUGGCGAGCGAACGCGGAAGAGGCCAAACCGAAGGUAGCAAUAUCUUCGGGGUUAGGACUGCAAUAUGUAACUUUAAUCUUUAACUGAAUGCUUUGGGAAGAGCAGCGACACAGGGUGACAGCCCCGUAAGUGAAAAGGAUUGAGUGCUAGCAGUAUCCAGAGUACCAGCGGACACGUGAAACCCGCUGGGAAGAUGGGGGGACCAUCCUCCAAGCCUAAAUACUACUCAGUGACCGAUAGUGGAGCAGUACCGUGAGGGAAAGGUGAAAAGUACCCCGGGAGGGGAGUGAAAGAGAACCUGAAACCUUGUGCCUACAAGCACCGAGAGCACGUUAAAGUGUGAUCGGGUACUUUUUGUAGAACGGUCCGGCGAGUUAAUAUUUGCAGCGAGGUUAAGUAACUGGAGUUACGGAGCCGCAGCGAGAGCGAGUCUGAAUAGGGCGUAUGAAGUUGCAGGUAUUAGACCCGAAACCGGGUGACCUAUCCAUGAGCAGGCUGAAGCGGUGGUAAGACACCGUGGAGGGCCGCACCCACGUCUGUUGAAAAAGCCGGGGAUGACUUGUGGAUAGCGGAGAAAUUCCAAUCGAACUCGGAGAUAGCUGGUUCUCCCCGAAAUAGCUUUAGGGCUAGCGUUAUUUUAGAUUACCGGAGGUAAAGCACUGAAUGGUCUAGGGGCCGCGAGGUUACCAAAGCCUAUCAAACUCUGAAUGCCGGAUAAUUGAUGAAUAGCAGUCAGACUGUGUGAGAUAAGUCUCAUAGUCAAAAGGGAAACAGCCCAGAUCUACAGCUAAGGUCCCAAAUGAACACUAAGUGGAAAAUGAUGUGAAACUGCGAAGACAACCAGGAUGUUGGCUUAGAAGCAGCCACUCAUUCAAAGAGUGCGUAAUAGCUCACUGGUCGAGUGGUUUUGCGCAGAAAAUGUAACGGGGCUAAGUGUUCAACCGAAGCUUAGGCAUUGUACUUUGUACAUUGGGUAGGGGAGCGUCGUAUGCGGGGCGAAGUCAGAGCGGAAGCACUGGUGGACUGCAUACGAGUGAGAAUGCCGGAAUAAGUAGCGAGAAUUAUGUGAGAAUCAUAAUGGCCGAAAAUCUAAGGUUUCCUGGGGAAGGUUCGUCCGCCCAGGGUUAGUCGGGAGCUAAGCUCAGGCCGAAAGGCGUAGGCGAUGCACAUACGGUAGAAAUUCCGUAACCACCGAACUUUAAGCUAGAGGGACGCUUUCUUUAAGGUUAUCCCGGGCGAUGGUUGCCCCGGGCGUAAGGGACCGAAAUUUAGUAGGGAAGUAACUGGCGAGAGAGACGAGAAAAGCUCUAGUGUAUACUAAGGUGCCCGUACCGCAAACCGACACAGGUAGAAGGGAUGAGUAUUCUAAGGCCAACGGGAGAAGGGUUGUUAAGGAACUCGGCAAAUUGGCCCCGUAACUUCGGGAUAAGGGGCGCCUGCGAGAGCAGGCCGCAGUGAAAAGGCCCAAGCGACUGUUUAGCAAAAACACAGCUCUCUGCUAAAUCGAAAGAUGACGUAUAGGGGGUGACGCCUGCCCGGUGCUGGAAGGUUAAGGGGAGUGCUUAGCGCAAGCGAAGGUGCGAACUUAAGCCCCAGUAAACGGCGGCCGUAACUAUAACGGUCCUAAGGUAGCGAAAUUCCUUGUCAGGUAAGUUCUGACCCGCACGAAUGGCGUAACGAUUUGGGCACUGUCUCAACAGCCCGCCCGGCGAAAUUGUAGUACCGGUGAAGAUGCCGGUUUCCCGCAACUAGACGGAAAGACCCCAUGGAGCUUCACUGUAGCUUGAUAUUGGACUUCGGUAUUCCAUGUACAGGAUAGGUGGGAGGCUUGGAAGUGAGUGCGCCAGCAUUCAUGGAGCCGUCCUUGGGAUACCACUCUUGGGAUAUUGGAGUUCUAACCUGCGACCAUGAAUCUGGUCGGGGGACAUUGUCAGGUGGGCAGUUUGACUGGGGCGGUCGCCUCCAAAAGAGUAACGGAGGCGCUCAAAGGUUCGUUCAGCACGGACGGAAAUCGUGCACUGAGUGUAAACGCAUAAACGAGCCUAACUGCGAGAAUGACGGUUCGAGCAGUAACGAAAGUUGGAGUUAGUGAUCCGGCGGUAUGUGAAUGGAAAUGCCGUCGCUCAACGGAUAAAAGCUACCCUGGGGAUAACAGGCUGAUCUCCCCCAAGAGUCCACAUCGACGGGGAGGUUUGGCACCUCGAUGUCGGCUCAUCGCAUCCUGGGGCUGAAUUCGGUCCCAAGGGUUUGGCUGUUCGCCAAUUAAAGCGGUACGCGAGCUGGGUUCAGAACGUCGUGAGACAGUUCGGUCCCUAUCUGUUGCGGGCGCAGGAAUAUUGAGAGGAGCUGUCCUUAGUACGAGAGGACCGGGAUGGACGUACCGCUGGUGCACCAGUUGUUCUGCCAAGGGCAUAGCUGGGUAGCUAAGUACGGACGAGAUAAACGCUGAAGGCAUCUAAGCGUGAAACUCCCCUCGAGAUAAGUGUUCCCAUCCUUCGGGAGUAAGGCCCCUUGUAGACUACAAGGUUGAUAGGUCAGGAGUGGAAGUGCAGUAAUGUAUGGAGCGGACUGAUACUAAUAGGCCGAGGGCUUGACCUAAA